CACGUAGGUGGCAAGCGUUGUCCGGAUUUACUGGGCGUAAAGAGCGCGCAGGCGGUUCGUUAAGUCAGAUGUGAAAGCCCCGGGCUCAACCUGGGAACUGCAUUUGAAACUGGCGGGCUUGAGUAUGGCAGAGGGGGGUGGAAUUCCGCGUGUAGCAGUGAAAUGCGUAGAGAUGCGGAGGAACACCGAUGGCGAAGGCAGCCCCCUGGGCCAAUACUGACGCUCAGGCACGAAAGCGUGGGGAGCAAACAGG
rnacentral:rRNA from 1 species